rnacentral:rRNA from 1 species
GAUGAACGCUGGCGGCGUGCCUAAUACAUGCAAGUCGAGCGAACAGACGAGGAGCUUGCUCCUCUGACGUUAGCGGCGGACGGGUGAGUAACACGUGGAUAACCUACCUAUAAGACUGGGAUAACUUCGGGAAACCGGAGCUAAUACCGGAUAAUAUAUUGAACCGCAUGGUUCAAUAGUGAAAGACGGUUUUGCUGUCACUUAUAGAUGGAUCCGCGCCGCAUUAGCUAGUUGGUAAGGUAACGGCUUACCAAGGCAACGAUGCGUAGCCGACCUGAGAGGGUGAUCGGCCACACUGGAACUGAGACACGGUCCAGACCCCUACGGGAGGCAGCAGUAGGGAAUAUUCCGCAAUGGGCGAAAGCCUGACGGAGCAACGCCGCGUGAGUGAUGAAGGUCUUCGGAUCGUAAAACUCUGUUAUUAGGGAAGAACAAAUGUGUAAGUAACUAUGCACGUCUUGACGGUACCUAAUCAGAAAGCCACGGCUAACUACGUG